rnacentral:rRNA from 1 species
AACGAACGCUGGCGGCAUGCCUAACACAUGCAAGUCGAGCGAACAGACGAGGAGCUUGCUCCUCUGACGUUAGCGGCGGACGGGUGAGUAACACGUGGAUAACCUACCUAUAAGACUGGGAUAACUUCGGGAAACCGGAGCUAAUACCGGAUAAUAUAUUGAACCGCAUGGUUCAAUAGUGAAAGACGGUUUUGCUGUCACUUAUAGAUGGAUCCGCGCCGCAUUAGCUAGUUGGUAAGGUAACGGCUUACCAAGGCAACGAUGCGUAGCCGACCUGAGAGGGUGAUCGGCCACACUGGAACUGAGACACGGUCCAGACUCCUACGGGAGGCAGCAGUAGGGAAUCUUCCGCAAUGGGCGAAAGCCUGACGGAGCAACGCCGCGUGAGUGAUGAAGGUCUUCGGAUCGUAAAACUCUGUUAUUAGGGAAGAACAAAUGUGUAAGUAACUAUGCACGUCUUGACGGUACCUAAUCAGAAAGCCACGGCUAACUACGUG